GGGAACAAAUUCCUUUGUUCCAUAUAGGAGCCAGUAUCAUCUAUUUUCUAUAUGUAUUGGUGCCCCCUUUCUCUGAGAGAUAUGUCAAAGACACCCAGUAAAAUAAACGAUUAAAACUGGACUUGAAAAUGGUUCAGGAUCAU